rnacentral:rRNA from 1 species
GACGAACGCUGGCGGCGUGCUUAACACAUGCAAGUCGAACGGAAAGGCCCUGCUUUUGUGGGGUGCUCGAGUGGCGAACGGGUGAGUAACACGUGAGUAACCUGCCCUUGACUUUGGGAUAACUUCAGGAAACUGGGGCUAAUACCGGAUAGGAGCUCCUGCUGCAUGGUGUGGUUUGGAAAGUUUCGGCGGUUGGGGAUGGACUCGCGGCUUAUCAGCUUGUUGGUGUGGUAGUGGCUUACCAAGGCUUUGACGGGUAGCCGGCCUGAGAGGGUGACCGGCCACAUUGGGACUGAGAGACGGCCCAGACUCCUACGGGAGGCAGCAGUGGGGAAUCUUGCAGAAUGGGCGGAAGCCAGAUGCAGCAACGCCGCGUGCGGGAUGACGGCCUUCGGGUUGUAAACCGCUUUCGCCUGUGACGAAGCGUGAGUGACGGUAAUGGGUAAAGAAGCACCGGCUAACUACGUG